UUCGUCUGUCGUUUAUGAGGAUGAGCACCUCCGCAGGAGGUUCGAGCCUCGCGAAGCGAGACAACGUUGCUUCAGCAACGGCCCGCAGGGCGCACAUCAAAGAUGCGCGUAAUCCUCUCUCGCCGACCA
rnacentral:sRNA from 1 species